rnacentral:lncRNA from 1 species
UAUGGCAUGCCUUAGUUAUACAAGUUAUGAUUGUAUGUGCCUUAUGAUUUCCAUUAUGCCUACAAAAUAAGUAGAUUACAUUAUAUCCUAAGAUAUGGAUUAUGAAUCAUGUGUAUGAGUGGCGUGUGUCAGCCAUAUAAUUGGUGAUUAUGCAUAAAUCAUGCUUAUGUAGAUUUCAUGAUGCAUGUAAGGUGAAUAGAAUUGCAUGUCAUAAUUUUCAUUAGCAUGAGCAUAAAGCAUGAUGAUGAAUUGCCUCUAGUUGUUUGCACAUCUUGCAAGGGGUACCUAAGGGUUCUUGAUGCUACGGGCCGAAUGCAACUGAGCCGGCCUUGCCAGUGGCCGAUAAUGACUGAGCCAGCCCCGCCAGUGGCCGACUAAUAACUGAGCAGGCCCCGCCAGUGACCGAUAAUAAAUUCGCCGUAGCAUCCAUAAGGUACCACCUAUAAGAAAUAUUGUCCACGAACUCUUAAGAGCUACUGAUCGAAUGCAACUGAGCCGGCCUUGCCAGUGGCCGAGAAUGACUGAGCCAGCCC